UACGAAGGGGCUAGCGUUGCUCGGAAUCACUGGGCGUAAAGGGUGCGUAGGCGGGUCUUUAAGUCAGGGGUGAAAUCCUGGAGCUCAACGUCCAGAACUGCCUUUGAUAACUGAAGAUCUUGAGUUCGGAGAGGUGAGUGGAACUGCGAGUGUAGAGGUGAAAUUCGUAGAUAUUCGCAAGAACACCAGUGGCGAAGGCGGCUCACUGGCCCGAGUACUGACGCUGAGGGACGAAAGCUAGGGGAGACGAAAGGGAUUAGGAUAAGCC
rnacentral:rRNA from 1 species